rnacentral:rRNA from 1 species
UACAUGCAAGUCGAGCGGAGUUGAUAGAGAAGCUUGCUUCCUUGAUACGUUAGCGGCGGACGGGUGAGUAACACGUAGGCAACCUGCCCUCAAGUUUGGGACAACUACCGGAAACGGUAGCUAAUACCGAAUAAUUGUUUUCUUCGCCUGAAGGAAACUGGAAAGACGGAGCAAUCUGUCACUUGGGGAUGGGCCUGCGGCGCAUUAGCUAGUUGGUGGGGUAACGGCUCACCAAGGCGACGAUGCGUAGCCGACCUGAGAGGGUGAUCGGCCACACUGGGACUGAGACACGGCCCAGACUCCUACGGGAGGCAGCAGUAGGGAAUCUUCCGCAAUGGGCGAAAGCCUGACGGAGCAAUGCCGCGUGAGUGAUGAAGGUUUUCGGAUCGUAAAGCUCUGUUGCCAGGGAAGAACGCUUGGGAGAGUAACUGCUCUCAAGGUGACGGUACCUGAGAAGAAAGCCCCGGCUAACUACGUGCCAGCAGCCGCGGUAAUACGUAGGGGGCAAGCGUUGUCCGGAAUUAUUGGGCGUAAAGCGCGCGCAGGCGGUCAUUUAAGUCUGGUGUUUAAUCCCGGGGCUCAACCCCGGAUCGCACUGGAAACUGGGUGACUUGAGUGCAGAAGAGGAGAGUGGAAUUCCACGUGUAGCGGUGAAAUGCGUAGAUAUGUGGAGGAACACCAGUGGCGAAGGCGACUCUCUGGGCUGUAACUGACGCUGAGGCGCGAAAGCGUGGGAGCAAACAGGAUUAGAUACCCUGGUAGUCCACGCCGUAAACGAUGAGUGCUAGGUGUUAGGGGUUUCGAUACCCUUGGUGCCGAAGUUAACACAUUAAGCACUCCGCCUGGGGAGUACGGUCGCAAGACUGAAACUC